GGCUCCCAAAGGCACGUGUCGUUGGC
rnacentral:snRNA from 1 species